rnacentral:pre_miRNA from 1 species
UUUAAGUAUGUAUGUGGAUUUCUAUGUCUAAAGUUUGAUCGUUCGUUUUGUUUUAAACUUUUUGAUUAGUAUUUUUGUUGCUAUUAGAUGAUAAAACAUGAAUAAUAUUUUAUGCGCGACUUUUUUUUAUUUUUUUUUAUAAAUUCGUUAAAUAAGAUGUGCGGUCAAACGACAAACACGGAAACCCGCUAAUGUAUUUAAA